AUGGCUUUUCAGUGACAUGAUAAAAUUAUUUGAAAUGAUACAGAGAAGAUUAGUAUGUUCUUGCGUCAAGAUGACAAGCACAUACCGAGAAAUGGUUCAAUUUUUU